UACGGAGGGAGCUAGCGUUAUUCGGAAUUACUGGGCGUAAAGCGCACGUAGGCGGCUUUGUAAGUUAGAGGUGAAAGCCUGGAGCUCAACUCCAGAAUUGCCUUUAAGACUGUAUCGCUUGAAUCCAGGAGAGGUGAGUGGAAUUCCGAGUGUAGAGGUGAAAUUCGUAGAUAUUCGGAAGAACACCAGUGGCGAAGGCGGCUCACUGGACUGGUAUUGACGCUGAGGUGCGAAAGCGUGGGGAGCAAACAGG
rnacentral:rRNA from 1 species